rnacentral:rRNA from 1 species
AGAGUUUGAUCAUGGCUCAGAUUGAACGCUGGCGGCAGGCCUAACACAUGCAAGUCGAACGGUAACAGGAAGCAGCUUGCUGCUUCGCUGACGAGUGGCGGACGGGUGAGUAAUGUCUGGGAAACUGCCUGAUGGAGGGGGAUAACUACUGGAAACGGUGGCUAAUACCGCAUAACGUCGCAAGACCAAAGAGGGGGACCUUCGGGCCUCUUGCCAUCAGAUGUGCCCAGAUGGGAUUAGCUAGUUGGUGAGGUAACGGCUCACCAAGGCGACGAUCCCUAGCUGGUCUGAGAGGAUGACCAGCCACACUGGAACUGAGACACGGUCCAGACUCCUACGGGAGGCAGCAGUGGGGAAUAUUGCACAAUGGGCGCAAGCCUGAUGCAGCCAUGCCGCGUGUAUGAAGAAGGCCUUCGGGUUGUAAAGUACUUUCAGCGGGGAGGAAGGUGUUGUGGUUAAUAACCACAGCAAUUGACGUUACCCGCAGAAGAAGCACCGGCUAACUCCGUGCCAGCAGCCGCGGUAAUACGGAGGGUGCAAGCGUUAAUCGGAAUUACUGGGCGUAAAGCGCACGCAGGCGGUCUGUCAAGUCGGAUGUGAAAUCCCCGGGCUCAACCUGGGAACUGCAUUCGAAACUGGCAGGCUUGAGUCUUGUAGAGGGGGGUAGAAUUCCAGGUGUAGCGGUGAAAUGCGUAGAGAUCUGGAGGAAUACCGGUGGCGAAGGCGGCCCCCUGGACAAAGACUGACGCUCAGGUGCGAAAGCGUGGGGAGCAAACAGGAUUAGAUACCCUGGUAGUCCACGCCGUAAACGAUGUCUACUUGGAGGUUGUGCCCUUGAGGCGUGGCUUCCGGAGCUAACGCGUUAAGUAGACCGCCUGGGGAGUACGGCCGCAAGGUUAAAACUCAAAUGAAUUGACGGGGGCCCGCACAAGCGGUGGAGCAUGUGGUUUAAUUCGAUGCAACGCGAAGAACCUUACCUGGUCUUGACAUCCACAGAACUUUCCAGAGAUGGAUUGGUGCCUUCGGGAACUGUGAGACAGGUGCUGCAUGGCUGUCGUCAGCUCGUGUUGUGAAAUGUUGGGUUAAGUCCCGCAACGAGCGCAACCCUUAUCCUUUGUUGCCAGCGAUUAGGUCGGGAACUCAAAGGAGACUGCCAGUGAUAAACUGGAGGAAGGUGGGGAUGACGUCAAGUCAUCAUGGCCCUUACGACCAGGGCUACACACGUGCUACAAUGGCGCAUACAAAGAGAAGCGACCUCGCGAGAGCAAGCGGACCUCAUAAAGUGCGUCGUAGUCCGGAUUGGAGUCUGCAACUCGACUCCAUGAAGUCGGAAUCGCUAGUAAUCGUGGAUCAGAAUGCCACGGUGAAUACGUUCCCGGGCCUUGUACACACCGCCCGUCACACCAUGGGAGUGGGUUGCAAAAGAAGUAGGUAGCUUAACCUUCGGGAGGGCGCUUACCACUUUGUGAUUCAUGACUGGGGUGAAGUCGUAACAAGGUAACCGUAGGGGAACCUGCGGUUGGAUCACCUCCUU